rnacentral:rRNA from 1 species
UACGUAGGAGGCAAGCGUUGUCCGGAAUUACUGGGCGUAAAGCGCGUGUAGGUGGUGGGACAAGUCUGCUGUGAAAGCGCCUGGCUUAACCGGGCGAGGUCGGCGGAAACUGUCCGACUCGAGGACGGUAGAGGGGGGUGGAAUGCCGCGUGUAGCAGUGAAAUGCGUAGAGAUGCGGAGGAACACCGAUGGCGAAGGCAGCCCCCUGGGCUAACACUGACGCUCAGGCACGAAAGCGUGGGGAGCAAACAGG